AGAAAACCAAUUGACACAUACAUGAGCAUGUGCCAAGGGGCUAAUUUAUAUAAUAUAUAAAAAGUCACCCUUUGAUGGGCUUCCUUCUUUGUGUCCAGAUAUACUCUUGGAAAUUGGGCUUGAUGAAACUAGAGAUCUUAGGCUAGUCACAGGGUGUGGACCAGUGCCAAGAAUAUUAAACGGUCCACUCCUUCUGUUCCUUUCAGCCCAGGCCAGUAUUGUUACACUACCACUUGCUUCGAGAAUUUUCAAAAAAAGACGUGGCAGCUUUUCUUUUCUUUUAUUUGUUUUAAAUUUUUUUCAUCCAAACAUUUAUAGGAAUCCUGGUCCAACAAGGUCUGGACACGUGUCAGUUUCCCUUUAUUUUUCUCUAUGCGAAUGUGUAUAGGAAUCCUGGUCAACACGGACUGCGAGUCUUCGCCCAAAAACCACGUGGCAGAUUUUAUUUUUUUCCAUCCAAAAGGAAUCGGGAUCCGACAAGAUGUGCGCGUCCUCACCACCACAAAUAUAGAAAGUAAUAAAAUAAAAAAAGAGAAAGUAGCGUUGAUUUCAAGUCAUUACAACCAAGAAAGAAAAACCGCGUCGACAGCUCAUCACUAUCCGUUACAACUUACACAUCCACCGUCUAUUAUUUCCAUCACCGGCUCAAUCUUGGCCGUUCAUGCCGACCCCCUCUCCUCAUAAAUACCCUUCAGACGUUCUCACAAAUCAUUCUGCUGGUCCCUGAACGAAAGGGCGAUGGCGAUCAGGGUGUGGUGAUGGAUUUGGCUACCGAUUAAAAGUGGAAUCUAAUGACCGUUGAAGGUUGUGACGAUAUAAAGAACCAGAGGUUGUGUAUAUUUGCAGGCUUGUUUUAUUGGUUCAGAUGAGAUCCAAACAAGAUUGGCCUGAUGGUGAAGUAGGUGUUUGUUAUGAAACUGCUUUGAAUUCGAUUUGGAUCUUCUAGUUGUUUUGUAUAGAUAGAAUUUGUUGAUUUGAGGGCGAAGUUCAUCUUUAUUGAUAUGCUUAUGUGUUUUGAUUGGCCUGAUGGUGAUGACUGCCAGGGCAUCUAGUUCUGCUUGCGAUUUGAUUUGGACGGAAAACUGCAUGAUUUUGUUCUGAAGUUUAGAAUAUAAUGAUUUGGAAAUUUCCCUCGUUUUUUUAUCAAUCAAAUAAGCGGAGCUUUGCUGUUAUUUUUCAGGCCUCGUUUGCGGUGUUUGACACACGAGGGUUAGAUGUUAUGGUUAGCUGAUAACUCCAUAGGUUCUUAUGGGAUCUGAUUGUAUGGCUACGAGGUUGGAUUUUAUACUGAUUUGCGGACGCAAUGGAAUGUUGAAUGUCAAAAUUGUCUAUCUGGAUCUAUUGAUUUGCAGGAGAUAGUAAUCGUGUUGCAGAUUUGAGCUUAUGUCUGCACCUUUUCAGUCUUUGGAUGGAGUCCAUUUGUAAAGGUUUUCAUUGGUUUGCUGCAUAUGGAUUAUUGUUUUUGGUUACAUGCUUAUUCUUUUACAGUUUGUCAAAAUGCGCGUCUUUAUAUAUCUUUCAAGUCCCUGAAAUUUUUAAGUAAUAUCAUGUUUAUGUCCUCCUCCUUUUCCCUAUGAUCAUGCCGAACUUUCUGCUCUUAUAUUGACAUACUAAAUCCAGAAUUCCUGUUAACCUUCUUAGUUCGUAGCCUUUCAUUUCGAUGUGUUUCUUGUUUUUUGGGUAUGUUCUAAACGGGUUUUUAUGUCCUCAAUUUUGGCUUUCUAUUGAUUUUCUCUGUUGGAAUGAAAGGGUCUAUUUUAAUUUCUUCUUAUCUCAAAGAUAUAGUAAUUGUUUUUUCAAAGAUAUAAAAUUAUUCAAUGUAUUUGAUCAAUAAAUUUUGCUUUCUAUAAAAUUGUUUUCUCUCAGUUGAUUACAGACCCCGAGUAUUUCUCACUUACCUCUUUAUUCCCAUGUAUUUAAUCAAUAAAUUUUGCUUUAUGGUCUUUAAGCUAUUAAUAAUUACAACCAAAAGUGGUUUGGCGCAGCGUUAUGUUUUUUAAAAGUUUGUUCAUUUCUAUGGUUGUCAUUGCAUAUAUUUGGACUUCGAAUUUGUAUAGCAGUGUGGUUAGGUUUUGUCUUGAUGAUUCACUAAUUUUGUGAUUAAAGUGCUUAUGGAGACUAAGUUGGAUGGAGCCAAAAGUUUAUGACACUUAUGGGGGAGCUGUUCUGGUUUGGUUAACAUGUUAAAUCUUUUUCUUUUAAGAUUUUAAUUUUUUUUUAAUACAAGUUCCUCUCUCUCCCUCUCUCUCUCUCUCUCUCUCUCUCUCUCGCUCUCGCUCUUGCUCUCACCCCAAAAUUAAUAUUAGGUACUAUGUAUUUUUCAGGUUUCUUCCGUUGGUUUCAAAUUGGCAUACUACCUAAGAGGGGGUUUAAUGCUGUUGCCUUUCGUUUCCCAUUUAAAUUUUUUUAUUAAAUUUGAUGUUUAUAUUUUAGCAAUAUCUUAUGUAGAUGCAACCUAAUUUUUGUCUUAGGGACAAAGUUUCACCACGGGGUAACGGUUUGAGAGCUCAAAGCCGCUUGUUUUGUUUGUUCCCCUUCGUUGGUUUCUUAUUUUUGUUACUUGUUCAAUAUCGUGAAUUAUGUGAUCUGUCUUUACGUUGUUGUCUUGCUUUAGUCCACAUUAUGUAGUGAUUAUCAGGAUUUUGAGCAGUUCCUGGGGUUACCUUGUUUGCUGAUUUUUUUGCAGGAAGUUGGUUUUAACGCCACAGUUAAUGAAGGAAUUGGAAUUAGGUUAUUGGGAGAACAUGUUAAAUCCUUUCUCUCUCAAGUUUUUUAAACUUUUAUAUACGUCUCUCUCUCUUUCUGUCUAUUUCACUUCUUAAUUAAUAUAAUGUAUUAUGUAUUUUUCAGGUUUCUUAUGUUGGGUUUGAAUUGACUUACUACUAGCUAAGAGGGGGUUUAAUGUUGCCUUUUGUUUCCCAUUCCAGAAAUCUAUUACAUUUGGUGCUGCUUUUUUAGCAAUAUCUUAUGUAGAUGCACCUUAAUUCUUGUCUUAGGGACAAAGUGGGGGCACCGGUUUGAGAGAUCAAGGCCACUGGUUUUUUUUGUUCACCUUCCUUGGAUUCGUAUUUUCGUUACUUGUUCAAUAUCUUGAAUUCUGUGGUCUGUCUUUCCAUUGAUGUCUUGCUUUAGUCCACAUUAUGUAGUGAUUAUCAGGAUUUUGAGCAGUUAUACAACUCUCUCUCUCUCUCUCUCUCUCUCUCUCUCUCUCUCAAUAUCUCUGUAUUUCACCCCUAAAUUGGUCAGGUAUUAUGUUUUUCAGGUUUCUUCUGUUGGGUUUGAAUUGACUUACUACAAUAAAGGGGGUUUAAUGAUGUUGCUCUUUUGUUUCCCAUUUCAAUUUUUAUUUUUAUUUUUAUACAUUUGGUGUUAUUAUUAUAGCAAAUAUCUUAUGUAGUUGCACCCUAAUUCUUGUCUUAGGGACAGAGUUUCAUCGGGGCGCACCAGCUUGAGAACUCAAGGCCGCUGGUUUUGUUUGUUCACUUUCCUUGGUUUCUUAUUUUUGUUACUUGUUCAAUAUUGUGAAUUUUGUGGUCUCUUUUCCGUCGAUGUCUUGCUUUAGUCCACAUUAUGUAGUGAUUGCAGUUGCAUUGUUUGGUGAUUUGUUUUGUAGGAAUUUGGUUUUAGAUGUUUACGCCUCAGUUAAAUGGAAGUGGAAAUAGGUUAUUGGGAGAAUAUGUUUGCGUUUUGUUUUUUUGAUGAAAUUGUUUAAUUCUCUACUCGUUCAAUGUCCUAAAUUAUUGGGAGAACAUCUUAAAUAUUAUAUCGUUUAAUUUUUUAAAGAUUUUUAUAUAUAUAUAUUUAUAUAUAUAUCUCUCUCUUUCUCUCUCUCUCUCUUGCCCCUAAAUUAAUAUUAGGUAUUAUGUAUUUUUCAGGGUUCUUCUGUUGGGUUUGAUUCGACUUACUACCUUAAAGGGGGUUUAAUGCUGUUGCCUUUUGUUUCCCAUUUCAAAAAUUUAUUACAUUUGGUGCUGUUAUUUUUUCAAUAUCUUAUGUAGAUGCACCCUAAUUCUUGUCUUAGGGACAAAGUUUCACCUGGGGGCACCGGUUUGAGAGCUCAAAGCCGCUGGUUUUGUUUGUUCACCUUGUUUCUUAUUUUUGUUACUUGCUCAAUAUCGUUUUGUUUGUUCACCUUGUUUCUUAUUUUUGUUACUUGCACAAUAUCGUUUCUGUGGUUUUUCCGUUGGUGUCUUGUGCCGACUUGCAUAAUGCAGAGACUUGUUUUAGUCCUCAUUAUGCAAGUCUAUGAGGAUUUUGAGCAGUCCUACACUUACCUUGUUUGGUGAAUUUUUGCAUGAAUUUGAUUUUGAAGGUUUAUGCUGCAGUUAAAUGGAAGAGGAAAUAAGUUAUUUGGUGUUUUUGGUGAAAUUGUUUUAUUCUCUGCACGUUUGAUGUCCUAUAUUAUUGGGAGAACAUGUUAAAUAUUUUUCUUUUAUUGUUUUAUUUUUUUUAUAUAUUAAGUGUAUAUCUCUCCCUCUAACACUUAAUUAAUAUUAAUUAUUAUGUAUUUUCAGGUUUCUUCUGUUGGGUUUGAAUUGACAUGCUACCUAAGAAGGGGUUUAUUGUUGUUGCCUUUUGUUUUACAUUUCAAAAAUUGAUUACAUUCGGUGCCUGUUAUUUUAGCUAUAUCUUAUGUAGAUGCACCCUAAUUCUUGUCUUAGGGACAAAGUUUCAACUUGGUGCAUGGGUUUGAGUGGAGUGCAAGGCUGCUGGUUUUUUUUCACCCUUCUUGGUAUAUGAGGGGAUAUGUUCAAAAUCACCAUCAAUCUUAUUAAUCUUUUUUUUCUUCAUUCGAAGAUAUAAUAUUAUGAUGUUUUGAUUACAGAUGCUGAAUGUGUCUUUACUUCCUUCUGUGCUGCCAUGUGUUUGUUCGAUGUAUGUUGCUUUAUGGUCAUUCCAUAUAUUUGGUCUCCCAAAUUGUAUAGCGGUCUGGUUUGACAUUCUCUUGAUGAUGAUUCCCUAUUUUCGUGAUUUGAUGCGUAUGGAGAAUUGGUUGCAUUUAAAGUUUAUGACUCUAGUCUAUUGUGGGAAGCAGAUUCUGGUUUGGUUUCUUAAUAAGAACAUGUUAACUUCCUACUUUAAAAUUCUCUCUCUCUCUCUCUCUCUCUCUCUCUCUCACCCCCUAAAUGAAUAUUGGGUACUUUGUAUUUUUCAGGUUUUCUUCUGUGGGGUUCUAAUUGACAUACCAUUUAAGAGGGGGUUUAAUUCUUCUUUCCUUCUGUUUAAUUUCCCAUCUUAAGGAUUUAUAAGAUUUGGUGCUGUUAUUUAGCAAUAUCUGAAGUAGAUGCAUCCUAAUUCUUGUCUUAGGGACAAAGUUUUCCUUGGGGCAUGGCAAUGAAUGGAGCUCCUGGGUGCUGGUUUUGUUUAUUCACCCUCUUGCUUUCUUGUUUCUUUUACAUGUUCAAUAUCGGUGAAUUAUGUGGUUGUCUUUCCUUUGAUGUCUCAUGCAGAUGAAUCUCUUGCUUUUAGUCUGUCUUCAUGGAGCUGAGUAUCAGGAUUUUGAGUAGCUUCUGCAGUUGCCUUAUUGACCCUGUUUGCUUUCUUAUUUCUGUUACAUGUUCAAUAUCGUGAAUUCCGUGGUUGUCUUUCCUUUCGUGUAUUAUGCAGUGCAUCUAUUGCUUUAGUCCAGAGUAUCAGGAUUUUGAGGAGCUUCUGCAGUAGUUCUAUUUGGUGAUCUUUUGCAGGAAUUUGUUUUUGAAGGUUUACGUUGCAGUUAGUUCUUGGCUUGUAAUUUAAUUUCUUAUUUCUUUGAUGUCUGGAAUCAUUUGUUUAUGCAGAUUGCAAAUCUUGUCUGUCUAUGGAAUCUCACUCUCCGUUGAAUAAAAAUGGGUUGCCUAAUGUCUGUAUAAUGUGGGGCACAUUGUCUGAGCUAUAUUUCUGCAUGCAGGUGUAUCCUAACUCGUGUCUAUAUAUGGAGGUCUCACUUUCUCAAACGAGUUUUAAGAAGGGGUUUGAGUAGUUUUUGGCUUAUGAUUUUGUUUCUUAUUUCUUGGUGUUCAUGAGGUAUGGAACCAUUUUUUGAGCACUUUUAUGCAGAUGCAUCCCAAUGCUUGUCGGUUGCUGGAGUCUCACACUGUUGAAAGAAAAAAAGGGGUUUUUUGAGUUAUUAUCUGAUUUUAUAUUAUUGGAGCCCGUACGACAUCCUGAGACAUUUUUUGCGCAAUGUCUUUAUAUGCAGACCAUUACACUUGUCUUCUUGUAGGGUCUGAUUCCUUGAAGUAGAACAAGCUGCUUUUAAGAAGGGGUAGUUUGAGUGGUUCUCUGCUUAUGCUUUAACUUCUUACAUGAGCCAUUAUUUGAGUAAUGUUUUCUUUUAGAGUUUGAUGCAUCUUGUGUAUGGUGAAGAGUUUAUAAGAUCUGGUAUGAAGUCUAUGCAGAUGCAAUUUAACUCGCACGUGUAUGAAGUCUUCGUUUAAGGAGAGCAGGGGGUCUUUUAUCUAAUUUUUUUUUAUUCGUACCGUCUGUAUAAUGUGGGGCACAUUGUCUGUGCUAUAUUUCUGCCUGCAGGCGUAUCCUAACUCGUGACAUGGAGGUCUCACUUUCUCGAACGAGUUUUAAGAAGGGGUUUGAGUAGUUUUUGGCUUAUGAUUUUGUUUCUUAUUUCUUGGUGUUCAUGAGGUAUGGAACCAUUAUUUGAGCACUUUUAUGCGGAUGCAUCCCAAUGCUUGUCGGUUGCUGGAGUCUCACACUGUUGAAAGAAAAAAAGGGUUUUUUUGAGUUAUUAUCUGAUUUUAUAUUAUUGGAGCCUGUACGACAUCCUGAGACAUUUUUUGUGCAAUGUCUUUAAGAAAGGUUUGGGUGGUUCUUGAGUUAUUAUCUGAGUUUAUAUUCUUGGAGCCUGUAUAUGUCAUCCUGAGACAUUUUUUGCGCAAUGUCUUUAUAUGCAGACCAUUACACUUGUCUUCUUGUGGGGUCUGAUUCCUUGAAGUAGAACGAGCUGCUUUUAAGAAAGGGUGGUUUGAGUGGUUCUCUGCUUAUGCUUUAACUUCUUACAUGAGCCAUUAUUUGAGUAAUGUUUUCUUUUAGAGUUUGAUGCAUCUUGUGUAUUGGUGAAGAGUUUAUAAGAUCUGGUAUGAAGUCUAUGCAGAUGCAAUUUAACUCGCAUGUGUAUGAAGUCUUCGUUGAAGGAGAGCAGGGGGUCUUUUAUCUAAUUUUUUUUAUUCGUACCGUCUGUAUAAUGUGGGGCACAUUGUCUGAGCUAUAUUUCUGCCUGCAGGCGUAUCCUAACUCGUGUCAAUAUAUGGAGGUCUCACUUUCUCGAACGAGUUUUAAGAAGGGGUUUGAGUAGUUUUUGGCUUAUGAUUUUGUUUCUUAUUUCUUGGUGUUUAUGAGGUAUGGAACCGUUAUUUGAGCACUCUUUUAUGCAGAUGCAUCCCAACGCUUGUCAGCUGGUGGAGUCUCACACUGUUGAAAGAAAAAAAAAGGGGUUUUCCAAGUUAUUAUCUGAUUUUAUAUUAUUGGAGCCUGUAUGACAUCCUGAGACAUUUUUUGCGCAAUGUCUUUAUAUGCAGACCAUCACACUUGUCUUCUUGUGGGGUCUGAUUCUUUGAAGUAGAACGAGCUGCUUUUAAGAAAGGGUUUGGGUGGUUCUCUGCUUAUGAUUUAACUUCUUAUAUGAGCCAUUAUUUGAGUAAUGCUUUCUUUUAGAGUUUGAUGCAUCUUGUGUAUUGGUGAAGAGUUUAUAAGAUCUGGUACCAUUGUUCGAGCAAUAUUCUAUGCAGAUGCAAUUUAACUCGCAUGUGUAUGAAGUCUUUGUUUAAGGAGAGCAGGGGGUCUUUUAUCUGAUCUCGUGUCUAUAUAUGGAGGUCUCACUUUCUCGAACGAGUUUUAAGAAGGGGUUUGAGUAGUUUUGGCUUAUGAUUUUGUUUCUUAUUUCUUGCUGUUCAUGAGGGUAUGGAACCAUUAUUUGAGCACUCUUUUAUGCAGAUGCAUCCCAACGCUUGUCGGAUGCUGGAGUCUCACUGUUGAAAGAAAAAAGGGGUUUUCUGAGUUAUUAUCUGAUUUUAUAUUAUUGGAGCCCGUAUGACAUCCUGAGACAUUUUUUGCGCAAUGUCUUUAUAUGCAGGCCAUUACACUAGUCUUCUUGUGGGGUCUGAUUCCUUGAAGUAGAACAAGCUGCUUUUAAGAAAGGGUUUGAGUGGUUCUCUGCUUAUGAUUUAACUUCUUACAUGAGCCAUUAAUGUUUUCUUUUAGAGUUUGAUGCAUCCUGUGUAUGGUGAAGAGUUUAUAAGAUCUGAAGAGUAUGAAGUCUUACUUUGUUUAAGGAGAGCAGGGGUGCUACUAAGAGUGAAUAUCUUCGCCCUAUUAUUUGAUUUGCUGGUCUUUGAGAUUUUUCACGACUUAUUUGAACAGCAUUUCUAUAUGCAGACACAUCCUUACUCGUCUUAUACAUGGAGUCCAACAUUGUUGACACAGAAGAGCUUCUUCCAAGAUGGGGUUUCUUGUCUUAUUAUCUAUUUUCUAUUCUGGAGAUUGUAUGAGAUCUUGGGCCAUGAUUUGCACCAUUACUUUCCAUUCUAUGCAGAUCAUCUUGUCUGUAUAUGGGGUCCAACUUUGUUGAAGGAAAUCGCUUUUAAGAGGGAGUUGAGUAUUAUAGCCUUAUGAUUUAUUUUCUUCUUGGAGAUUCGACACUUUCGUUGGGCAUUCUUUUGUGCAGAUGUAUCGUAGCUCUGCUCUGUUUCUGGAUCUUUUUCCUCAGAUGUUGGGCUUUGAAUUUCGUGUAGGGGCCUCAAGAUCCUUAAUUUUGUAUGACUCUGUGCUUCCCAUUCACUUCAAUAUUACACUGGUCUUUAAUUAAUUCACACAUUUUAAGGUUCGGCAGAUGCGUGUCUUUAUUGGUAUUGCUGUUUUUGUCUGGUUGAAGGUGGAUUCAAUGCAGUCUGUUCAGAUAUUUGGUCGUUCAUUUGAUAUUUUACUGCUAAGUGUAUAUGAUCGGGCACCACCAUUUGAUCUCAUGCAAUGUGUUUGCAGUUGCAACCUAACUUCUCUUUUACUGGAGUCGCACUUUGUCAGAGCUUGGAGGUGGUUUUAUGUUCCUUUGCUUGCGAUUUAGUUCUUUGUAGACCACAAAUGUGGCAUUUUUGAGCAAAUGUAUUAUGCAAAUUCAUUUCGCAUCUUUUUUACUUGAUUACAUAUUAAUGGAAUGGGUUCAAGCAAACCAACGAAAUUAUGGAUUUGGCAUGUGCGACAAUCAAGAGGAAUGGGAGUUGCCUUUGUAGAGUGUAUGUCUUUCCUUUUGGUCUUGUCUUCAUUGGAAUGUGGACUGCUUAGUAGUGUCCUGUGCUUCUUGGCUGACCAUUCUUCUUGGAUAUUGGGUCUGUAUAUUGUCAGCUUGCUCUUGAGGCUUGGGAGAAUGGGGAUGCUUUUAAGAGGUGUCUGGUACUUCCUGGUGUAUGGUUUAUUUUUGUUAGAUUUUAUUAGAUAUGAUUCGAGCAAAAAGAUUUGUGCAGCAACAUUUGUCUCUUAAAGUCCUGGGGUUUAUAGGCGGGCAGGCUGCUGAUUGUUUUAAGAGGGAGUGGGAAUGGGGUAUGCAGAUUGACAUCUUUGGAUGCAGUGAAGUAUAAUUGGACUGUAGAGCAGCACUGGAUGCAGUGAAGUAUAAUUGGACCGUAGAGCAGCACUUGCUGACACAUAAACUGAGUAUGACUUUGAUCUUCAUUGAUGGAACUGUUCUGUGAGGGGUCGUGAGAUUCGAUUGUCUUUUACAUAGUAUCUUAUUUCAAAUAUGUUUCAAAGUUGUAUUCAUUGAUCUCGUUUUGGCCAAGGUUUACUGAUGUUCAGGUUGACGGGAUUGAUUUGGCAGCUGAAAUGGAUAGGAUGACUUGUUUUCAUUGUCUUUGGAUUUCAGCGUUUAGAUCUUGCUCGAUUUUUCAGACUAUGGGCUGAGGGGUUAAUUCUUUCCUUUGAUUUAAUUGCUUCUCUCAAAGUCUUUUCGUAUAUAUAUAUAUAUAUAUAUAUAUAUUUUUUUUUUUUCUGAAGUGCAGAUGCUAAUAUGUACCUCUUCGGGUUUGGCUUUUGUCUUAAAACAUAGAGACCUGUUGGCAUCUUUCGGUUGAAGUGCCUGGUUUGCUUUUGCUGGUUCUUUUGUUGUGUCAUGUUGCUUUUUUAUUCUGGCAGGCUAAAGUUGCUCAAGUUUGUGAUGGAUCAGUUUGUUGGAUAUUUGAAAUUUCUGUGCAGAGUAGUCCAUUGUAAGCUUGAAGUGUGCUGAUCCGUUUAGGUUACACAUGGUGUACGCAUUGGUGUAUCAUUUAAUUUGUUUCCCAUAAGAGAGAAGAUUUGGUACCUGUUUCAUGUGCACACUUAUCCUGAAGAGAGUUUUUUAGAGGUGGAGAAAUGCAGGUCUUUAAAAGGGGUUGUUUAACAAGUUGACAGUCUGGCAUAAUUAUAUGGUCGUGUUUUAUGCAAAAGCAGUCUCAUUCUUUCAAUGCUGUGUCUCAGAUUCAAGUUUAUGCAGAGACCUGAUAAAACUGUUUUUUAAACUGCUGGUGGAUAUAGAUGUGGUAUGACGUGUGAUAUUUUCCUUCCCCGUCUUCUUAGUUUCGUCAGCUGAUGGUCAUACUUUUUUCUAUCACUGUUCCUUUGUAUAGCUUUCGUGUUCAUUUGGGCGGCUUGAUAGGAUCUGCCGUUCUUUUCUUCAUUUGGUGCUUCUCAUGCGUAGUCCAACUUAUUGAACAUUGCAAUCUGACACUGUUUCUAUGAUCAAUUUGACAUUUUAAAAGGAUUUGAGUAUUAAUUAUAUUCUUCAUUGUUGGUAUCAAAUUAGACAUUUUGAACUUUAGUGUGUUUUUUAUAUUGAUGUUCUUAUGAGGUGCUGGGUGUGUUUCUUUUAUUGGUUCAAUAAUGCUGUGGUUGAGCUUCAUUCGACUCUUCCCAGCUGGUUGCUAGUACAGGUUGAUUUUCUGGAACUAAUGUGAAUGCGAGUCGUGCUUUAAUGCAUGCAUAGCUUAUUUUGGAUCUUGCAAAAACCUACAAUAUAACAAUGAGCAAAUAUGCUUUAGCUGGAUUUUAAGCUCGUGAAGUGUGGAAGGGAUGAUAGGGAUGAGGUCCUCUGAGAGAUUGCAUUAAAUGUGAUACUUAUCUCUAAUUUAUGACUGAGUAAUGAACUUACAAAGAGACAUGUAAUGUAUUGAAAGAAUGUAGUCCUGGUUUGUCAUUUUGGAAUGAGCCCUUUACGUAGAUUGCUUAUUAUGGGAGAGAAUUUGUGUCUUUCCUUUGUUAAAGAUUUCUAAACUAAUAUUUCUCUUG